rnacentral:rRNA from 1 species
CUCUUAGAUGUCCUGGGCCGCACGCGCGUUACACUGAUGCAUUCAACGAGCUUAUAACCUUGGCCGAGAGGCCCGGGCAAUCUUGUUAACGUGCAUCGUGAUAGGGAUAGAUUAUUGAAAUUAUUAAUCUUGAACGAGGAAUUCCUAGUAAACGCAGAUCAUCAAUCUGCAUUGAUUACGUCCCUGCCCUUUGUACACACCGCCCGUCGCACCUACCGAUUGGAUGGUCCGGUGAAGCCUCGGGAUUGUGGUUCUUGCCGCUUUAUUGUGGCGUGACCGCGAGAACUUGUCUAAACCUUAUCAUCUAGAGGAAGGUGAAGUCGUAACA